GACGUAGGGCGCGAGCGUUGUCCGGAUUUAUUGGGCGUAAAGAGCGUGUAGGCGGCUAGAUAGGUCCGUUGUGAAAACUCGAGGCUCAACCUCGAGACGUCGAUGGAAACCAUCUGGCUAGAGUCCGGAAGAGGAGAGUGGAAUUCCUGGUGUAGCGGUGAAAUGCGCAGAUAUCAGGAGGAACACCGGUGGCGAAGGCGGCAUCCUGGACCGACACUGACGCUGAGGAGCGAAAGCCAGGGGAGCAAACGGG
rnacentral:rRNA from 1 species